UACGUAGGGCGCAAGCGUUGUCCGGAAUUAUUGGGCGUAAAGAGCUCGUAGGCGGCUUGUCGCGUCGAUUGUGAAAGCCCGGGGCUUAACUCCGGGUCUGCAGUCGAUACGGGCAGGCGUAGAGUGUGGUAGGGGAGAUCGGAAUUCCUGGUGUAGCGGUGAAAUGCGUAGAUAUCUGGAGGAACACCGGUGGCGAAGGCGGCAUCCUGGACCGAGAUUGACGCUGAGGCGCGAAAGCCAGGGGAGCAAACGGG
rnacentral:rRNA from 1 species